UCCGGUUUGUCACCGGCAGUCUCGCGUGAGUCCCCAACUUAAUGCUGGCAACACGCGACAAGGGUUGCGCUCGUUGCGGGACUUAACCCAACAUCUCACGACACGAGCUGACGACAGCCAUGCAGCAUCUGUGGUGCACCCUCGAAGGUCACACGUUUCCGUGCGCUUGCGAGUGCAUGUCAAGCCCAGGUAAGGUUCUUCGCGUCGCAUCGAAUUAAACCACACGCUCCGCUGCUUGUGCGGGUCCCCGUCAAUUCCUUUGAGUUUUAGUCUUGCGACCGUACUCCCCAGGCGGUCCACUUAAUGCGUUGGCUUCGGCACCGCAGGGGUCGAUACCCGCGACACCCAGCACUCAUCGUUUACGGCGUGGACUAC
rnacentral:misc_RNA from 1 species